CUUAUCUUCAUGCAAUAUUAUUGGCUUAUGAUUUUCAACAAACAUCCUAAUGCUUUCCUGAUAUGUUGAAUCAUAGUCUGUAAGCACACACAUUCAUGACUUGUUUCGUAAAGAACUUAGGCCACGUUUGGUCGGAGGGAAUGGAAUAGUCGUUCCCUCCUUAUUCUUGGAUGAACAUGGCUAUUCCUCUCCUAUUCAUUUGAUUUACAGAAUCAUCAUUCGGUAAAGGGGGCUAAGAAUAGCCUAUUCAACAAUGGACCUAAUAGCAAAAUUUCCCCCACACAAUUUUACCUUGUAUUUGUUCACCCAUCGUCAUCGUUGUAGUAAAAGUGGUGCCUCCGUCGAUUUUGUCAUUGAAAACCAUUGAUUCAUCUCCUACUCGUUCCCCGCCUUCGCAAAGCUGUAUCCUUUCCCUUGUGAGAACCUCUAGUUGUUCAUGCUGCUGUUGGCCGGUUUUUGCCUUCUGAUUCUGGUUAUGAAGAACACAUGAACCCCAUGCUAGUUGGGGAUGAUUUGUCUCAUGCUAUGCAUGAGUUCCUUCUAGUUGCCAUGGGUGACAUAACUAAAUCAGCUCUUGAUGUUGGUCGCUCUGGUUUGGACAAUGUUUGUGGUCUCAAUGACAUUCAGGCUUCUAAAUUUCUUAUGAUUAUUUUUAAUCAAUAUUUGGAUUAGCUUCUAAUGUAAUCCAAAAUGUGAACUUAUUUGUAUCUAUUGUCCCCAGCGUGCUUAUCUUUUUUAUUCAUGUGAAGAGAAUAUGAUAAAUAAACAUGUACCUUUUCUACUGUUAAUAUUUUAUUCCAAA